rnacentral:rRNA from 1 species
GUCCACACGGUAACGAUGAAUACUCGCUGUUGGCGAUAUACAGUCAGCGGCCAAGCGAAGCAUUAAGUAUUCCACCUGGGAGUACGCCGGCAACGGUGAAACUCAAAGGAAUUGACGGGGCCCGCACAAGCGGAGGAACAUGUGGUUAAUUCGAUGAUACGCGAGGAACCUUACCCGGGCUUAAAUUGCACUGGACAGUCUCAGAGAUGGGGAUUUCUUCGGACCAGUGUGAAGGUGCUGCAUGGUUGUCGU